rnacentral:ncRNA from 2 species
AGUGUCCGCGGCGCUGGUGGUUCACCGGCCCGCCCGGGUCGGUGAGGCAAGAGGGAACCCGGUGCGAAUCCGGGACUGCCCCGCAGCGGUGAACGGGAACGACCGCCGUCACGAGCACUGGGAGACCCUCCCGGGAAGCGACGGCCAGUAGGCCGGGCGCCUGCGGCACUCGUGAGUGGAAAAGUCGGCUCAGGCCGCGAUAACCACUCACGGGCGCCGAAGGCGCCCGAUACCCGUGAGUCCGAAGACCUGCCACCGGUGCGCGCACCGC